UACGUAGGGGGCAAGCGUUGUCCGGAUUUAUUGGGCGUAAAGAGCGUGUAGGCGGCCGUACAGGUCAGCUGUGAAAACUCGAGGCUCAACCUCGAGACGUCGGUUGAAACCGUACGGCUAGAGUCCGGAAGAGGAGAGUGGAAUUCCCGGUGUAGCGGUGAAAUGCGCAGAUAUCAGGAGGAACACCGGUGGCGAAGGCGGGUCUCUGGGCCGAUACUGACGCUGAGGAGCGAAAGCGUGGGGAGCGAACAGG
rnacentral:rRNA from 1 species